rnacentral:rRNA from 1 species
ACCGAAAUAAGGUGAAACCGCGAAAGGCUCAUUAUAUCAGUUAUGGUUCAUUAGAUCGUACUCACACUUACUUGGAUAACUGUGGUAAUUCUAGAGCUAAUACAUGCAAACAGAACUCCGACCGGAGACGGAAGGAGCGCUUUUAUUAGAUCAAAACCAACACGGGCGAGGCGGGCCGGCGGCGUCUUGCACGUCGUCGCGUCCGCCUCGUCUCACACAUAGCUCGCACGACGAAUCUGAAUAACUUUUGCCGAUCGCACGGUCACGCACCGGCGACGCAUCUUUCAAAUGUCUGCCUUAUCAACUUUCGAUGGUAGGUUAUGCGCCUACCAUGGUUGUAACGGGUAACGGGGAAUCAGGGUUCGAUUCCGGAGAGGGAGCCUGAGAAACGGCUACCACAUCCAAGGAAGGCAGCAGGCGCGCAAAUUACCCACUCCCGGCACGGGGAGGUAGUGACGAAAAAUAACGAUACGGGACUCAUCCGAGGCCCCGUGAUCGGAAUGAGCACACUUUAAAUCCUUUAACGAGGAUCAAUUGGAGGGCAAGUCUGGUGCCAGCAGCCGCGGUAAUUCCAGCUCCAAUAGCGUAUAUUAAAGUUGCUGCGGUUAAAAAGCUCGUAGUCGAAAUUGUGUCCACGGCCGCCGGUUCGUCGCUCGCGACGCCAACUGGCGCGCACGCUGGACGUCCAGCCGGUACUACGAACUCGCCUACGGGGUGCUCUUAACCGAGUGUCCAGGCGGGGGCCGGCAACGUUACUUUGAACAAACUAAAGUGCUUAAAGCAGGCUAAAUCACGCUCGUAUACGUACGUGCAUGGAAUAAUCGAAUAGGACCUCCGUUCUAUUUUGUUGGGUUUUUGUGGAACGACAAACGGAGGUAAUGAUCAAUGGGUGCGGAUGGGGGCAUUCGUAUUGCGACGUUAGAGGUGAAAUUCUUGGAUCGUCGCAAGACGGACUUAAGCGAAAGCAUUUGCCAAAAACGCUUUCAUCGAUCAAGAACGAAAGUUAGAGGUUCGAAGGCGAUCAGAUACCGCCCUAGUUCUAACCAUAAACUAUGCCAGCUAGCGAUCCGCCGAAGUUACUACUAUGACUCGGCGGGCAGCUUCCGGGAAACCAAAGCUUUCGGGUUCCGGGGGAAGUAUGGUUGCAAAGCUGAAACUUAAAGGAAUUGACGGAAGGGCACCACCAGGAGUGGAGCCUGCGGCUUAAUUUGACUCAACACGGGAAACCUCACCAGGCCCGGACACCGGAAGGAUUGACAGAUUGAGAGCUCUUUCUU